rnacentral:rRNA from 1 species
GAGACAGCAGCAGCCACGGUAAUACAGAGGGUGCGAGCGUUAAUCGGAUUUACUGGGCGUAAAGCGUGCGUAGGCGGCUUUUUAAGUCGGAUGUGAAAUCCCUGAGCUUAACUUAGGAAUUGCAUUCGAUACUGGGAAGCUAGAGUAUGGGAGAGGAUGGUAGAAUUCCAGGUGUAGCGGUGAAAUGCGUAGAGAUCUGGAGGAAUACCGAUGGCGAAGGCAGCCAUCUGGCCUAAUACUGACGCUGAGGUACGAAAGCAUGGGGAGCAAACAGGAUUAGAUACCCCUGUAGUCCCUGUCUCUUAUAC